rnacentral:rRNA from 1 species
UACAACAUAUCAUUAAUGUAGCAAAUCCCAUUAGAAAUCCACAGUUAAGCGCACUCAGGCUAGCUUAGUAUUAAGAUAGGUGACCUCUCGGUAAGUACUAGUGUUUUAC